rnacentral:rRNA from 1 species
UCCGUAGGGGGCAAGCGUUGUCCGGAAUCACUGGGCUUAAAGCGCGUGUAGGCGGGAGGGCACGUCCGUUGCUGAAAUCCCCCGGCUCAACCGGGGAACGGGCGCGGAUACGACUCUCCUUGAGGGGCGUAGGGGGACCUGGAACUUCCGGUGGAGCGGUGAAAUGCGUUGAGAUCGGAAGGAACGCCCGUGGCGAAAGCGAGGUCCUGGACGCCUACUGACGCUGAGACGCGAAAGCCAGGGGAGCGAACGGG